rnacentral:rRNA from 1 species
AAACCAACCGGGAUUGCCUCAGUAACGGCGAGUGAAGCGGCAACAGCUCAAAUUUGAAAGCCCGCGGGCGUUGUAAUUUGCAGGCGGAUGUUUUGGGGCGGGCGCUGUCUACGUUCCUUGGAACAGGACGCCGCAGAGGGUGAGAGCCCCGUGCGAUGGCGCCUCUAACCGCGUAAAACUCCGCCGACGAGUCGAGUUGUUUGGGAAUGCAGCUCCAAGUGGGUGGUAAAUUCCAUCUAAAGCUAAAUACUGGCGAGAGACCGAUAGCGAACAAGUACAGUGAUGGAAAGAUGAAAAGCACUUUGAAAAGAGAGUGAAACAGCACGUGAAAUUGUUGAAAGGGAAGGGUAUGCGAUUAGCGGCCAGCAGGAGGUGCCUUCUCGUGAAAAGGCCGUGCACCGUCUUCGGACACCGUGCGCGGAGAUGGCGAGGGGGCGCCUGAGGUCUGCGAACUCGAGGUUGCUGGCGUAAUGAUUGCAUACCAC